rnacentral:rRNA from 1 species
CCUACGGGAGGCAGCAGUGAGGAAUAUUGGUCAAUGGGCGAGAGCCUGAACCAGCCAAGUCGCGUGAAGGAUGACUGCUCUAUGGUUUGUAAACUUCUUUUAUAUGGGAAUAAAGUGAGGUACGUAUUCUGUUUUGUAUGUACCUUAUGAAUAAGCAUCGGCUAACUCCGUGCCAGCAGCCGCGGUAAUACGGAGGAUGCGAGCGUUAUCCGGAUUUAUUGGGUUUAAAGGGUGCGUAGGUGGUUUAUUAAGUCAGCGGUGAAAGUUUGUGGCUCAACCAUAAAAUUGCCGUUGAAACUGGUUGACUUGAGUAUAUUUGAGGUAGGCGGAAUGCGUGGUGUAGCGGUGAAAUGCAUAGAUAUCACGAAGAACUCCGAUUGCGAAGGCAGCUUACUAAACUAUAACUGACACUGAAGCACGAAAGUGUGGGUAUCGAACAGGAUUAGAUACCCUUGUAGUC